AAGUUGUAUGUGAGGAUUGGAGAAAAUUAAAUAAAAUAGCUUGUUUGAUGCAUUUUGUUUAAUUUUCUCCAAUAUCUCAUAUCCAACCU
rnacentral:pre_miRNA from 1 species